rnacentral:lncRNA from 10 species
UGUGGUUCUCACCGUGAGUCAUGGUGGCUCUGCUGUGCCGUCCUCGCUAUCUCGGGGAACCGGAGAUCCCCCUUAAUUCCCUCCAGCUGUGUCUCUACAGGGCUGAGGUCAUCCAUUCUGGCUCAAGAGGAAAGCAGAGAGUUUGUUGUGUCUUUGUUUCAUUCAAAUGGUUUGGACGGUGACUCACUCCAUUUCUUCUCUCUUUUCUUUUUAAACCAGGGCACCGUCUGGGAGUCGUUUUUGAUUAGAAGUUGACCUCAGAAAUAUGCUCACAUCAUUUUGAAAGCAUCUUCCAGCACCACAGAAAUCGACUCAGAUGGAGAAAGGACACUGAGUGGACAGGGGCCAGGAUGGGGCGUGGACGCUCUGCCUCUGCCGGGGACAAGGCCUUCCCACAGACUCCCUGGGGUGUUGCCAGCCUGAGUCAGAGAUAUUGAUGUAAUGCCUACCGUGUUCCAGACACGCUGCGAGGCCCUGGGGAUGCAGCCACAAUCCCAACAGAUCUGAUGCCUGCUCUCAUGGAACUGACUUUGCACUGGGGGGAGGCCAACUCCACGAAAACAGAAACUGGAUGACACAUUGGAGGGAGAGCAGUAAAAGGAGCAAGCAGAGAGCAAGAACAACAGUGUUGCCAUGGGGCGGGUGGGCCCGCUGUAGCCAGGGAGGGCCUCUCCGAAGGUAUAACAGGUAAGCUGAGCCCUGGAUGCUGAGAAGGACCAGCCUCAGGAGCAGGGCCCCUCUGCAGCAAUGCCUAGUACAGAGGCUUAGAGAAGACAUGGGCACGUGCACCAGGCAUCCCAUGGGCAGGGCUACCUGAGUUCCAUAUGUGUGUGGAGAGGUCCCGCAGGGCCUGGGUGCGUGACGAGGAUGAAUAAAGUGGGUGGAGGGUAAUGCCACAGUGAGGGGCAGAUGGUGGCCAGUUGACAACACGUGCCCCCAUCAAAGAGGUGGUUGCUACUCAGCUCUGACUCAUGGUCACCAAAAAGGAUGUGGGGCGAGUGUGGCCAGAUCAUCUAGUUCUUCAAAAGAAAGUAGAAAUCUAAACAUUUUUUUUUUGGUAAAGACAUCUGAAUUUCAAGUGCUUUUAUUAAAAGAAGCAAAAAGAGGCCUGGCACGGUGGCUCACGUCUGUAAUCCCAGCACUUUGGGAGGCUGAGGUAGACAGAUCACUUGAGGUUGGGAGUUCGAGACCAGCCUGGCCAACAUGGAGAAACCCCGUCUCUACUGAAAAUACAAAAAAAAUUAGCUGGGCAUGGUGGCAGGUGCCUGCAAUCCCAGCCACUCGGGAGGCUGAGGAGCGAGAAUCACUUGAACCCGGGAGGCAGAGGUUGCAGUGAGCUGAGAUCACGCUACUGCACUCCAGCCUGGGUGACAGAGCAAGAACCUGCCUUAAAAGAAGAAGAAAAAAAAAAAAAAAAACACUGGGUGGAUGAAAAAAAAACAUCCCCAAGCCAGGUCCAGCCUGCAGGUCACCAUUUUGCAGCCUUUGGGUGGAAAGCCGGAUUGGACUGCAGCAGCCUAGUACUCAAGGAGAGGGCACGGCAGGGAGAGGAGACAGCAGCGGAAAGGCCUGAGCUGGGACAGUCGAAGAGCUGUGAGCGGCUUGCUAUGGCUGAAACGUAGUUUGAGUGUGACCACAAAACAUGGCAGACUGUGACCACAUUGCAAGGAUCUCGGAGGCUUGGUAAAAGGGUUCUCUUCCCCGGAGAUGUGGCACAGUGUCCGAUCCCCGUGCCUUUCCUCAUACAGUGCCCUCCCCCCUUUCUCCGCAUGUCUACGUUCUGACUCUAGUGCCACUUUUUCCACAGUCUCCCUGGUCCCCCUCCCACCCACCAUCAAGAUGGGAUCUCUCCCUCCUGGGAGCACCUACUGCACUUUGCUUUCAUUCAUUCAUUUUUUAAAAUUAAUUAAUUAAUUGGUUUAUUUAUUUUGAGAUGGAGUCUCACUCUGUUGCUCAGGCUGGAGUGCAACGUCACGAUCUCGGCUCACUGCAAACUCCGCCUCCCGGGUUCAAGCAAUUCUCCUGCCUCAGCCUCCCAAGUACCUGGGAUUAUAGGCAUGCGUCACCACACCCAGCUCGU